UACGAAGGGGGCUAGCGUUGUUCGGAUUUACUGGGCGUAAAGCGCACGUAGGCGGCUCUUUAAGUCAGAGGUGAAAUCCCAAGGCUCAACCUUGGAACUGCCUUUGAUACUGGGGAUCUUGAGUCCGGGAGAGGUGAGUGGAACUGCGAGUGUAGAGGUGAAAUUCGUAGAUAUUCGCAAGAACACCAGUGGCGAAGGCGGCUCACUGGCCCGGUACUGACGCUGAGGUGCGAAAGCGUGGGGAGCAAACAGG
rnacentral:rRNA from 1 species